UGUGUGAUACCUAUGCGCAAUAACUUCAAACGUUUUGUGGUACUUUGCACAGAUUCGUGAAACAGUGCUAAAAUUUCCGUUAUCGCUGAAGUUAACUUAGCUAAGUGUACCUAUACCUACGGUAUAUUCCUUAUGGGAUUCGUGAGUUGAUAAUCAGUAAUCACAUGAAAGUGGUGUAAUCGAGGGUGUAAUUAUGGUGUCAUUAAUUGUUUCUCAAGUGCUGAUCCAUAUACAACAACAAUAGAUCAAGGUGUAGAAGCAAUUUUCAACACCAAUCGCCCAGUUGGGAAAAAUAUUUACGUUAACCUACUUCCACUUCAUGUACGAAGAGGACGGCCAUUACAUAAUUGCUGUGAAAACGAUAUGUACGCUGGGAAGGAGGCUUUCGUUGUCAUAAUUCUGCCUUUGUCAGCAGCCUGAUCAAGAUCAUUUUAGUUUGUUUACAUUUUACCGGACUUAACCUAGAUGGCGUUUGCGUUUCUCUGAACAAUUGUUUAGAUCGUUGCACGUAAGACUUUAGGGAAAAAUUAUAGUUGAAAUUUAUCAUU